rnacentral:rRNA from 1 species
UUCAAUCAGUGAAACUGAUCUUCCCGUGAAGAAGCGGGAAUUACAAUAUAAGACGAGAAGACCCCAUGAAGCUUCAAAUUAAAUACUAACUGCUAUUCUAACAUCACCACAACCUAGCAGAUCUAGUCAUUAAUUUUAGGUUGGGGUGACCACGGAGCACAACAAAACCUCCACAAUGAAAAGGCCUAACUCCCUAAUUUAAGAACAACAAUUCUAACAAUCAAUAUAUUGACAUACUUGACCCAAAUUUUUGAUCAAUGAACCAAGUUACUCUGGGGAUAACAGCGCAAUCCAUUUCAAGAGCCCCUAUCGACAAAUGGGUUUACGACCUCGAUGUUGGAUCAGGGUAUCCCAGUGGUGUAGCCGCUACUAAAG